rnacentral:rRNA from 1 species
GAACGCGUCUUGGUUAUUGAUGUUGGAUGCUUGCAUUUAACUGAUUUCCAUUGAGACGAGUGGCGAACUGGUGAGUAACACGUGGGUAACCUGCCCUUGAAGUAGGGGAUAACACUUGGAAACAGGUGCUAAUACCGUAUAACAACCAAAACCACCUGGUUUUGGUUUAAAAGAUGGCUUCGGCUAUCACUUUAGGAUGGACCCGCGGCGUAUUAGCUUGUUGGUAAGGUAACGGCCUACCAAGGCAAUGAUACGUAGCCGACCUGAGAGGGUAAUCGGCCACAUUGGGACUGAGACACGGCCCAAACUCCUACGGGAGGCAGCAGUAGGGAAUCUUCCACAAUGGACGAAAGUCUGAUGGAGCAACGCCGCGUGAGUGAUGAAGGGUUUCGGCUCGUAAAACUCUGUUGUUGGAGAAGAACAGGUGUGAGAGUAACUGUUCACAUCUUGACGGUAUCCAACCAGAAAGCCACGGCUAACUACGUGCCAGCAGCCGCGGUAAUACGUAGGUGGCAAGCGUUGUCCGGAUUUAUUGGGCGUAAAGCGAGCGCAGGCGGUUUCUUAGGUCUGAUGUGAAAGCCUUCGGCUUAACCGGAGAAGUGCAUCGGAAACCAGGAGACUUGAGUGCAGAAGAGGACAGUGGAACUCCAUGUGUAGCGGUGAAAUGCGUAGAUAUAUGGAAGAACACCAGUGGCGAAGGCGGCUGUCUGGUCUGUAACUGACGCUGAGGCUCGAAAGCAUGGGUAGCGAACA